UGUCUAGCGACAGCAGCAGCAAUCCCGGUUUCUAGAGCUCCGACAGCCGAUGUUCCGGAAACAGCAGUUGCCGAUGGAGAGGCAAUUAGUGGAGAAGAGAAGGAGCUUCCAUUAUGGUUAAUGUCGCAGCAAGUAGGCUUGGCAGUCAGCCCACGGGUUUAGGUUACCCAGUGGAGCCCGCCCGCGAAUACAGCCCGAAAGUCUGGGCCCGAUGGAUGUUUACCGGUUUCGGUCAGGCCCGUGACCCGCGAGUUUCGGGUAAUGGGCGGAUACGGAUAAUAACUUAUCCGACCCAUAUCCAAUCCGUGAGUUAAAACGACGUAGUAUUGAUAUAGGGUAUAAAAGCAAAAUUUUCAGACUAGGGUUUCAUUUCAGCCAUUUUUUCACGCCUCUGAGCCUCUCUCCAGAAUUUUCUCCCGACUUCCUCUCGAAAGAACUCCACUGAAACCCUAAUUUUUCUCCCAAAUCUUCCUUUUCUGUUGAUAUUCAUCGAAUCCAUCCCCACUAUAAUCAUCACCUACCCGUAAUCACCCCUUUCAGCGACAAAAAUGCCUCAAUCCAUACAAAUCCAGUUCGAAUCGUGCAUGCAAAGGAUUCCUUCCUCAAAUCGAGAUAAGUUUUUUAUUCUGCCAUUCCUUAUUUUUGUUUAUCCCUGCAUGUAUAAAUUGUAUACUGAAUUGAUGACAUUUGAUGGUUGAACUGAAGUAGCAUAAUUGAAGGAAGAACUGAAUUGCUGCAGAUGCUGAAUUGCAGAUUUGCAGUCUUUGAUACAUUUUAAGUUUAUUGAUUGAUUUGAGUUUUCAGUUCGAACAGUUAAGUGUUUUGAUUGUGUUUAGUUUUGAAUUCGAAGUAUGAAGUCUGAAUGUCUUGAGUCUGAACUAGUCUUGCAGUUUUAGCUUCUGCAGUUUUAUGUUCUGGAACUGGAAUCCAGAAUCCAGAUGGUCAAUUUCAAUUAUAUAUGAGACUGGAAUACAGUAUGAGACUGGGAAUUGGUCAAUGGGAUGAAUGAUGAUAUUUAUUGCCAGGUUUUCAUUUGAGAUUUUUUAAUUUUCAGAUUUUGACAAUUUGUUGGACAAACCCGAUAUCCACUGGUUUAACCGAAAUCCAUAACAAAAUGGAUUUGGUAACAAAAUUUUACCCAUUAGGCAUAAUGGGGCGGGUUUUGUGGGAAACGCGGUUAUGGGUAAAACCGUGGGCAAAUUUAACGGGCAACGGUUAGGGUGUAACCGCCCUGUAACCGACCCAUUGCCAAGCCUAGCAGCAAGGAACAGCCAGACGGAGAGUGAAGUUAGGGAAUCGGAUAUGUGGUUCUGUUGUUGUUGCUCCUGGAGCAGCAGGAAAGAAGAAGGGGACGAGAUGGGAUGUUGGUUUGGUGAUGCUGGCGAGGAACGCACGCUGGAACCUUGUGGCCUGGCUGCUGUUUGCAGUGAUGGUUUUAGGUUUGAUAGGUAUGUUGGUUUUGUUGCAGGGGAAGGGUAGGGCUGCGGAUCUGGUUCAGCGGACUGCACAUAUUUCGUCGUUGGCGUUCAAAUCAUACAGAGGAAACUGCGGAGCUUGAGGAUACGAGUUUAGAUCUGGCCGUAAUAUCGAUAUAAAUGAAUAAUUCAGGAAUGAUGUUGAUACUGGUGAAAGUAGGAACCAUAUGCAACAGACAUCCCUGGUAGUUUGAUGUAAAAUUAAGGAGUGUGGUGUGGGUGUAUAGCCUUUAGGACUUAUAACUUGUUAUUAUAUUUUGCCCAACGGAUCUUGUAGUUGGAUCUGUUGAGGCUAGGUAGCUCUAUCUUGUGUUUAUGAUGCGUUAUUAUGGCAAACUCGGACAUCAACUGGAUUCGUUGGAUGGACGGCCAGAGGUCCGCCGCCAAAUGAAGACGAGUGAGUCGAUGGAUUCGUUUGAUGUAGAUAAAUGGUGUAGAGAAAUCAAACCAUAUUUGAACCUUUCACGAACGACAAUAUGGGCAAUUGAUAAGUGAAGUGUCGCAUAAUCCUUCA
rnacentral:lncRNA from 1 species